UCUUCAGUUCCUUUGCCUCUCUUCACCUCACUUUAUUACAAUGCACUAUACAUUUUCUAAGAAAAGAAGGCAUGAUUCCUGGGCCAGGGGGCUGAUAACCCUUCCCUGAAUCUGUUCUAUUCACACACUUCACUGGAUUUCCUGUGUCCAACUGCCAUGGAAUCUUCAGAUUUGAACUUUCCACCGCUUCGGAUGUCAUCUGAAUGGUGGUGGAGAGGAAUAUACUUACCUCGUGUGUGCCCAAUUACACUAUCUAGAAAGGUGAACGCUAACAUGACCGCAUAUCAUAAACCCUGCAGACCCCUCCAGGCAACUGUCCUAUAUAGGAGGGGGGAAACCAGUGAGAUUUCAAGAUGGCUGAAUAAUUGCGUCCAGUGCAAACUUUCACGCAAACACAUUUGCACUAGCUUUUGUAAGAUUUUUACUUACAGCAAGCAUUCUUGUGCACUCACCAAAAAAAAUAAAAAUAAAAAAAAAUCA